GAUAAACGCUGGCGGCGUGCAUGAGACAUGCAAGUCGAACGAAGGAUCGGGCUUGCUCGAUCCUUAGUGGCGGACGGCUGAGUAACGCGUAGGUGACCUACCCCGAAGUGGGGAAUAACUGCCCGAAAGGGUGGCUAAUACCGCAUGUGGUCGCACGUUCAUUCGUGCGAGUAAAGCCGCAAGGCGCUUCGGGAGGGGCCUGCGUCCGAUUAGCUCGUUGGUAGGGUAAUGGCGUACCAAGGCGACGAUCGGUAGGUGGUCUGAGAGGACGAUCACCCAGACUGGGACUGAGACACGGCCCAGACUCCUACGGGAGGCAGCAGUCGGGAAUUUUGCUCAAUGGGGGAAACCCUGAAGCAGCAACGCCGCGUGAGGGAUGAAGGCCUUCGGGUUGUAAACCUCUUUUGUCAGGGACGAUGAUGACGGUACCUGGCGAAUAAGCCACGGCUAACUACGUG
rnacentral:rRNA from 1 species